rnacentral:lncRNA from 1 species
AAAUUAAUUUUUAGCAUGAUUCACGCAUCAUGAAUACCAUGAGAUAUAUUAGGUUGUUUGCAUUAGAAUUCACGAAUAUGUUGCAUUGCAUAAUAUGUUGAUGAUAUGGAUGAAUGUUGAAUGAUCCUUUAGCCCUCCCAUGAUAUGAUAUGGUAUGAUAUGAUACGGUACGGAAGACUAGUGAGGCCCAUUCUACGCCCCUGGCACUAUGUGAGAGAAAGACCAGCGAGGCCCAUUCUACGCCCCUGGCACAGUUGGAAUGUUAUGUUAUGAUAUGUUAUGUAAGAGAAAGACCAGUGAGGCCCAUUCUAUGCCCCUGGCACAGUUGGAC